AUCUAUCAAUCGACAUGUCUAAUAUUCGCUUAUUGUAAACGUUCUGUCAUCUAUCAAUCGACAUGUCUAAUAUUCGCUUAUUGUAAACAUUCUGUCAUCUAUCAAUCAACAUGUCUAAUAUUCGCUUAUUGUAAACGUUCUGUCAUCUAUCAAUUGACAUGUCUAAUGUUCGCUUAUUGUAAACGUUCUGUCGUCUAUCAAUCAAAAUGUCUAAUAUUCGCU